UUACAUCUCUGCAUACUCUUAAUCGAGGAAGUCCCUUCGGGGACAGGAUGACAGGUGGUGCAUGGUUGUCGUCAGCUCGUGUCGUGAGAUGUUGGGUUAAGUCCCGCAACGAGCGCAACCCUUAUUGUUAGUUGCCAUCAUUAAGUUGGGCACUCUAGCGAGACUGCCCGGGUUAACCGGGAGGAAGGUGGGGAUGACGUCAAAUCAUCAUGCCCCUUAUGUCUAGGGCUACACACGUGCUACAAUGGUCGGUACAAUAAGACGCAAGCCCGCGAGGGGGAGCAAAACUGGAAAACCGAUCUCAGUUCGGAUUGUAGGCUGAAACUCGCCUACAUGAAGCUGGAGUUGCUAGUAAUCGCGAAUCAGCAUGUCGCGGUGAAUACGUUCCCGGGUCUUGUACACC
rnacentral:rRNA from 1 species